CCUACGGGUGGCAGCAGUAGGGAAUAUUGCUCAAUGGGGGAAACCCUGAAGCAGCAACGCCGCGUGGAGGAUGAAGGUUUUCGGAUUGUAAACUCCUUUUUUUAGAGAAGAUAAUUACGGUAUCUAACGCAUAAGCACCGUCUAACACCGUUCCAGCAGCAGCGGUAAUAUGGAGGGUGCAAGCGUUACUCGGAAGAACUGGGCGUAAAGAGCGCGUAUGCGGGAUAGCAAGUCAGAUGUGAAAUCCUAUGGCUUAACCAUAGAAUUGCAGUUGAAACUGUUAUUCUAGAGUAUGGGAGAGGUAGGUGGAAUUCGUGGUGUAGGGGUAAAAUGCGUAGAGAUCAAGCGGAAUACUGAUUGCGAAGGCGACCUGCUAGACCAUAACUGACGCUGAUGCGCGAAAGCGUGGGGAGCAAACAGGAUUAGAUACCCCAGUAGUC
rnacentral:rRNA from 1 species